UAACUGAAUCAUGGGGGCAGGUCUUUCCUGUGCUGUUCUUGUGAUAGUGAAUAGGUCUCACAAGAACUGAUGGCUUUAAAAACAAGAGUUUCACUGCAUAAGCUCUCUCUUGGCCUGCCACCAUCCAUGUAAGAUGUGACUUACUCCUCCUUGCCUUCUGCCAUGAUUGUGAGGCCUCCCCAGUCAUGCGGAACUGUAAGUCCAUUAAAUCUUUUUUUUUUUUUUUCCUUUGGUAAAUUGCCAAGUCUUGGGUAUGUCUUUAUUAACAGUGUGAAAACAGAUUAAUACAAGUGGUAACAGCAUUUUGUUUAGAAAUAAGGGAGGUGAUACCAGAAGAAACAGUACAGAUACCAGAAGAGCAGAACAUGGUUGCUUUGGAAAGCAGGAAUUGAGAAUAUGGAAAAGUGGGGCAGGAAAGUGCUGUUUUUUGGCAAUAAUCUUUGCAUAACUGCUUCUGUCCACUAUUGUAGAUACAAAUAUUACUUUGCUAAAGGUUAACUUCUUUAACCCCAUUUGGUUAAGAAGAGCAGCAAAGUAUUCUUGAAAGAAGUAGCUUAUUUGAUUGGCUGCUGUGUUAGACCCUUAUAUUCUACCUUGAAGCGGAAGGUCUUUCCUGAUCAAAGAUUGUAUGGUACCACAUUGUUCUUUUAAAAUUACUUGCCAUUUAUCCAACAAGCAUUUACGGUGCACCAACAAUGAGACGGGCUCUGAGCUAGGCACCGGCUCUGCUUUUCUUCAACCCAUGAGGCCUUUGCUGCCCAGAAGCAUGGCUCACAGUGAGGCCAGUAUGAAAAGGGGCACCUGAGACAAGGACGAUUGCCCUCUGCACCCACCCUUCCACCCCGUGUCUCUCACGUAGACAAGGGCAGUAGCCUCGUAUUGAGACACCCACUCUCCUCCUUUGUCCUCAUACAACCUAUUCACACAGGAGCCAGAGGAGUCCUUUUAACGUAGGUUAGAUCAGUUCAUUCUGCUGCCUCCAACCUCUACAUCUUCCCGGCUCAUUCGGCAUAAAAUCCAAAUCCCUCCAUGAUCAAAAGGCUCCACCCAGCUGGGCCUCUUACUGACUCUCCUGAACAUUCACAACCCCUGACAUCCCUCUCCUGUCUUCAUCUGCUUCUACCACUAAUACUAUGAUGCACGCAAUUACUUAGUAUCUCUUUCUGCACCAUGGACCACAACAAACAAGGCUAGUGACUUCACUGUGGUCAUUACCGCAGCCCCCGCACAUGGGACAGGGCCUGACACUAGGCAUUCGUAGCUAGUUGUUGAGUGAAUACAAGAACAGUAAGGAGGCACUGAAGAUGACGUUAGUAGGUGAAUGGUAACAGGUUUGAGCAUUAAAAAAACAUUAUUGAGGUAGAAUACACAUACGAGUUAACAUCUUUACCAUUUUUAAGUGUACAAUUCAGUGGUAAUAAAAACAUUCAUAUUCUCUUUUUCCCGUUAAUCCCCCAACUCCAGCCCCAUCCUCUGGCCUCUGGUAACCACCAAUCUGUUUUCUAUUUUCAUGAGACCCCUUUUUUUUUCUUUGAGACAGAGUCUCUCUCUGUCACCCAGGCUAGAAUGCAGUGGUGCUAUUUCAACUUAUGGCAACCUCUGCCUCCCAGGUUCAAGUGAUUCUUGUGCCUCAGCCCCCCAGCUGGGAUUACAAGCAUGUGCCACCACACCCAGAUAAUUUUUGUAUUUUGUAGUAGAGAUUAACCAUAUUGGCCAGUCUGGUCUCAAACUCCUGGCCUGAAGCGAUCCACCCCCCUUGGCCUCUCAAAGUGCUGGAAUUACAGGUAUGAGCCACUGCACCCAGCCUGAGAUCCACUUUUUUAGCUCCCACAUGUGAGUGAGAAAACGUGAUACUUGUCUUUCUAUGCUUGACUUAUUCCACUUAACAUAAUGGUCUCCAGACUUGAGCACUUCUAAACCAUCACACUUCCUGCUGUGUGAAGAUACAUUGCAAAUAAGAAUAUCUGCAGAGACACAGGAAGCCCCGAGGGGAGGGCCAGUAUUGCAGUGAGGAGCCUGGGUCAUCAGUGGCACUGGCAGAAGGGAUGGUGAGACCUUGAAAGCCACAGCACACAUUUAGGAGGUAGAGCCUCUAGGCUUAGGGACUGCUCAUGUUUGGGACUGAUGUGCAGAAAGUGGUCCAAGUGGUAUCCAGGUUUCCAGACCCUUGAGGAAAUGGUGGUAAUUGGUGUUUGAGGGAAACAAUAAUGAAUGUUGUAUUAUUAGUAGUAUGAAGUAACAAGGUUGAGGUUAUUGAUGACUGCAGUUAUUAGGUGGCAUGUUACACAGGUGACUCAGGAGACAUGUCUAGGCUGGAGAAACAAGUCAUUAGGAUCUAGAAGGUAAUGGAAUCUGUGGAGGUUGGUUCACCCAGUCAGAGCUUACAGAGUGAGAUGAGAAGAGGCCAAAAACAAAAUUUUGAGAAACCCUGAUUGUCAUACAUGUCAUGAUAUUCUACCUCUAGGCUGAGGCACUCAUUGCCCAGAGGCUGAGCCUUCCCUUGGAAUUGCCCGCAUUCAAAGACAGCUGCUUUACCCAGGGUCCUAUCCCCUUCCUGGAGACAACCCUCGUCUGAUACCUGAUCAGGUGUAUCUCCCAAGAGGAUUUCCCAAAAUCCCCCUACACAUACAUAUCUAUUUCGCAGUCAUGAAAUAGAGAAACCCAACCUGCCACAUCAAUACUUAAGGAAGAUACAGAAGUGGCUGAUCUGAGGAAAAGCAAGAGAGAUAGAAGGCAGAAGAUGAGAUGUGGUGAGUGGUGACUCUUAAGUUGAGAGAGACUUGAGCACAUCCAAACACUGGAGGGAGAGGUAACCGACCCAGGGAAUGUAGAGGCCAACCAAUGGGACAAGGUCUGGGAGCGGUGGCAGCAUCUUCCAUCACAAGCACAGUCAAAGAAAUAGCCUUGUGUGGGAGGAGGCCACAUCUUCCACUAAGAGGUCUUCAGAUGGAAAGGAGCAGUAUCCAAAAAGAGGUGAUCAAGGAAUGCAACCUGAGGAGCUUCAUCUGCACUUGGACCUGAUGAGAUGACAAAACCCUGGACAUCAAGCCACUAUAAUGGGAUGAGACUGUGGGAAAAGAGUGAAUGUAUUUUUCGCACAAGAAAGCUUUGAAUUAUUAUGACCAGAGGGAGAUCCGUAACACUGUGCUAAGCAAAGAGCCACCUAUUCCAGUUAUCUGCCCUAUGCUGUUGAAGUCUCAAAGAAGAACCCCAGAAGGGCAAGAUGGAUAUUGCAAGACCUCAUGGGUGGAUGCUCUGGAACUUGCUCCACAUCCCUUCGACUGCACUCUGUUGGUCAAAGCAAGUUACAAGGUCAGUCCAGAUUCAAGGGCGUGGAGAUAUUGACUUCACCUCUGGCUGGGAGGAGGGUCGAAAUUCACAUUGGAAAGUGGCGUACCCAUGGGUUGGGUGCAAUUUGAGGUCCCCACAUAAUUUUCUACACGUGUGAAUUUAAAAAUAAGAAUUUAACUUAUUUUUAAUUCUUAACUUUCAAAUGGAAGGGAUGAUGAGCCUCACCAGUUUUCCCAGUGUUUUGAUGAAGCUCAUUAUCCUAAGCAAUCUAGGCUCAAUCUGUCUGCCAGGAAAUGGGAAGAGCUGCAGAAGUGCCUUGAGUGGGAGGUACUGCGGGGACUUGGCCUCAAUUGGCUUAAGAAUGUUACCAUUUUCUGGAGGAAAAAUGUCCUGGGUUUUAACGGAAGAGCUCAGGUCUGUGUUGAAGCCAGGGCUGACCAUGCUGCAGGCCCCUGGCCCUGGAACUUCACUCAUGCACACUUUCUGUUGCUCCUUGUUCCUUAUCAAUUCAAUUCUUUGGACAUCAUGACCAGUAGACUAUAGGAGCUGCUCUCUUAAAUCCAGAACACAAUAGAUAUUGAUACCUAAUAUUUCUACUUUGUUCCUAGUAUGUGGCUUUUAUUCAUGAUUUUUACCUCCUUACUUCCCAUUACUAAUGGCUUCUCCUGUCUUCUGAAGUAUUUUUAUCUUGCUUAUUUUACUAUCACUCCCCACCAACCACUGGCAUUUGUGGUUCAGAAGGUGUCAUUGUCCAUUGUCUAGUGUUUCUUUGCGAUAUGUUACUCUUCGUGUCUUGUAAGCUACUGUUCUCUGGGGUGUGAGCUACCCUGUUUGGUUGUGGAUUUUAGGGAACAGCCAAAUAAACCCCUAGUCUGAGUAAAUUCUGGUGUGUUUAUGGGGAGGGCAGGGAUGAUGACCAGGCCACAGAGCUCAGGUUACCCAGAGAAGCAGGGCCCACCCUCCACACCACCUCCCUCCUGAGGUUGAAUUUUUACACCUUUCUGGAGAAGCAGCACAGCCCUGGGAUCCUGGAGGUAGAGACACAGGGGCUGGAGAUCCAAGUCCAGUGGGUCUGGGUGGAGCUCGCCUGUCUCUAUCUGGUCCUCACCUCAGCAAGGCUUUUGUGCUGCUAUGACAUAACUCAUGGACAGUGGCUCCAGUGACUUGCACUGUUGCCCUUGAUUCCUGCCAUGAAGAGAGAGGCAUCGCUUGUCCCAAGGGAUUGCGAUUUAGAGUUAAAUUAUUGCUAGCCAUCCUGGUAUAGGAAGAGUUUCCAGAAGUCUCUACUCUCCCUGUGUGCCAACUCACCCCCGCCUUCCCCGGAGACGUGAAGAUGCAGGGUCAUCACCAUAUAAACCUGUCCUUUAGUACAGCGGUCCUCAACCUUUCUGGCACCAGGGACCAGUUGUGUGGAAGACAAUUUUUCCAAAACAGGAUGAUGGAAGGGAUGGUUUUGGGAUAAAACUGUUCCACCUCGUAUCAUCAGACAUUAGAUUCUCAUAAGGAGCAUGCAACCUAGGUCCCUUGCACGCACAAUUCACAAUAGGGUUUGUGGUCCCAUGAGAAUCUAACAUCACCACCAAUGUGACAGGAGGCAGAGCUCAGGCAGUAAUGCUGGCUUUCCCACCACUCACCUCCUGCUGUGUGACCCAGUUCCUAGCCGGGGUCGGGGACCCCUGCUUUAGUCCUCCGAACUAGCCAUAUGUGGCUAGUAGAAGAGGAAUGAGAUCUGAAAUGUGCGUAACCAGAAGCCAGUGCAUGGAAAAUUCUUCCAGUCAUCAACUGUGUACAAUUAUGUUUGGUUCUCAUCGAUUUCCAGUCAAAACAGAAGUUCUCUUUUGUCAGUAACAUGCUCAAAACUCAGCAAGUACAAUUAUAAAUGCACUUUUCAUGUUUUUCUUUAAUGAUGGAAAUUGCACAAAAUAGAAUUUAUCAGAUCCCAUGAGUACAAAUUUGCAGCAGAGCAGAAGAUAGCCAGUAUGUCUAUGUGAGAAGUUACACGUUCUCUACAUCCCAACCUAUUGGUUUACAUCUAGCAUAUCCAAUGCAUUUUGUCCUGAGGAAGUCUCCUGGUUCCAGAUGAAAGAGAAUACAAAAUUGUCAGCAAUACAGCAAAACAGCCUGAAGAAACAAGUGACAAAUUCCUACACAUUUAUCAGGAAGUCAAUACAUGUGGAGUAAGAAUAACUGGAUUACACAAUUAAGUAGCACAAUACAAAGUGUAGCAGUCCCCACCUUGCGGAUGCCUGAAACAAAACCCUACAUAUACUACACUUUUGCCUAUACAUACAAACCUAUGAUAAAGUUUAAUUCAUAAAUUAAGCACAUGAAGAGAUGAACAACAAUGACUAAUAAUAAAACAGAACAAUUAUAACAAUAUACUGCAAUAAAAGUAAAAUAAGGAUUACAUGAUCCCAAGCACUGUGAGACGGCAGCAGUCAAUCUGAUAGCCAAGACUGCUGCUAAGUGACUAACGGGCAGGUAGCGUCUACACCAUGGAUAUGCUGGACAAAGGGGUGAUUAAUGUCCCAAGUGGGACAGAGCUGGACAGUGUGAGAUUUUAUGAUGAUAUUCAGAACAGCAAGUAAUUUAAAACUUAUGAAUUAUUUAUUUAUGGAAUUUUCCAUUUAAUAUUUUCAGACUGUGGUUGACCUCGGGUAACUGAAACCACAGAAAGCAAAACAUGGAUAAAGUGGGGUCUACUGUAGGGGCAAUGUUUAAAAGCAUUUGAAUUGCUCUUGUAUGCCUUACUUUGAGAUUAAUUGUAUAAGUUUUCAGAAUUAUUGAUCAUAUCGAAAUUUAAAUUUGAUGUGAAGGAAGUAUCUUAGGAGAAGCUAAAAAAUACAUAAAUGAACGAAGACUGGAAGAAUCUUCAAGAUGUUAAAAACUCAUAUAACCACAGAAAUAAAAACUCCAAUUGUUAAAGUCAUAGUAAAGAGAAGGAAGCAAAUCAUAAUAGGUCAAAAUAUAAAGAUAAAAUGACCACUGAAAGGAUAAUAAAGAUUGUGAAAAUCAGGACACUCUCAAACAGAAACCAAAAGCGGAAGAGAGAUGAAAGCAAGAGCAAAGUAAGACACAAUUUGUACGAUCAACAGAACUGGCACUAGGGUCAAGAGCAGCUUCACUUUGCAGAAUUCAUCAAUUUGAAGAACUUCUGUGAUCUUUUGUGAUGGCCUGUUACAAUGAACAGUAGUUUCAUUUAUAUCUGUUCCACUAAAAACCACUGCUUUUUCCAAUAUCGUGAUCACAGUAAUGUUUACAAAGAAUCAAACAGAACAUAAGAAGGACUAAAGAUACUUCUGAAACAGAUAUUAAAAAAUAAUAAUGAUGGCCAAACUGCUGAGAUGGUGGCUGGCCUCUCUGAAGACUAAGGGCCUGGUGCUGUUUUGGUUGUAAACUGUGUUCCAUUAAGUGGUACCUCAAAUGAACCGGACACUAAAUACUCCUCCAUUAUUAUAGAUUCUGCAUUGGAUGUCACAGACAUUGAUCUGUGGGAAAUACUGUGUGCUACUCCUGAGAAAACCCUAUGAGAAAUUUUAAACUUUUUUGCUGACAACUAUUUAUGACUUUAUUCAACAAAGUGAAACAACAUUUGGACGACUGUUGCCUGUUCUUGAAUGUCAUUCAUGGUCAGCCACACAAAAACACUGCUAUUACAGAGAACAAAGGGCCCCACCUGCUCUUUAAAAAUAUUUGUAAAUGGCGCAGUGUGUGUGGUGGGCAUCUCGUUCCCUUAAAACUGUUGGAGAAAAAGCUGCCUCCACAAUGCUGAGGUUGUUGAUGACUUUGCCAUUCUGCUACAUUAAAUGUUUUCUUUUCAGGUUUGAAUUGUAGAUGUGUUAUUAUCUGUACAUCACAUAUGCCAAGCUGGAUCUUCCUUUAAAGCUUUUAGGGCUGAUAAAAUGCCUUGGCCAUUACGAAGCUAUUUAAGACUCACACGUGAGGCCAAAAAUAUUUGAAUGACACUGAUGUACAUUUUUUAAAACUCAGAGGAGAAACCUGAGAAGAAACAAAAUGGAAAAAAAAAAAAAAAAAAAUUAGGCCAGGCACGGCGGCUCACGCCUGUGAUCCUAACACUUUGG
rnacentral:lncRNA from 1 species